rnacentral:rRNA from 1 species
UACGGAGGGGGCGAGCGUUAUUCGGAAUUAUUGGGCGUAAAGGGCGCGUAGGCGGCUUGACAAGUCAAAGGUGAAAUCCCUCGGCUCAACUGAGGAACUGCCUUUGAAACUGUCUGGCUUGAGGCCGGGAGGGGGUAGCGGAAUUCCCAGUGUAGCGGUGAAAUGCGUAGAUAUUGGGAGGAACACCAGUGGCGAAGGCGGCAUCCUGGACUGGUCCUGACACUCAUGAGCGAAAGCGUGGGGAGCGAUCCGG